GUGCUCACUUCAGCAGCACAUAUAUUAAAAUUGGAAUGAUAUAGAGAAUUAGCAUUGGCCCUGCUCAAGAUAGAUACACACACACACACACACACACACACACACA